rnacentral:rRNA from 1 species
GUAGUUAAUCAAGCUAAAGCAAAGGUUCGAAAACAAUGUACUAUUAACUUUGUUUGUAGUGUAAAGUUGACUUUGGUUAACUUGAACCAUGGUCUCAAAUUAGGUAGGAAGACCCGCUGAACUUAAGCAUAUCAAUAAGCGGAGGAAAAGAAACUAACAAGGAUUCCCCUAGUAACGGCGAGUGAAGCGGGAACAGCUCAAAUUUGAAAUCUUACUGUUUUACAGUACGAAUUGUAGUUUAGAGAAACGUUUUCGAGGUUGAUAUAUGGUACAAGUUCUUUGGAACGAGACAUCAUAGAGGGUGAAAAUCCCGUCUUUGACCAUGUAUUUAAUUUUAUGUGAUACGUUUUCCAAGAGUCGGUUUGUUUGGGAAUGCAGACCAAAAUGGGUGGUAAAUACCAUCUAAAGCUAAAUAUUGGCGAGAGACCGAUAGCGAACAAGUACCGUGAGGGAAAGAUGAAAAGAACUUUGAAAAGAGAGUUAAAUAGUACGUGAAAUUGUCAAAAGGGAAACGCUUGAAACCAGUAUUGUGAGCAGAAAUUCAGCUACUUUUGUAGUAGUGUAUUUUUCUGUUUACGAGUCAACAUCAGUUUUGCUCAAAGUAAAAAGCUAUAGGAAGGUAACCUUCGGGUAUUAUAGCCUAAAGUCAUGCUUUGGUUAAGACUGAGGUCUGCAGCGUUAUUUGGGUUUUACCACACCAACGCUUAGGAUGUUGACGAAAUGGUUUAAACGACC